rnacentral:rRNA from 1 species
UACGGGGGGGGCAAGCGUUGUUCGGAAUUACUGGGCGUAAAGGGCUCGUAGGCGGCCAACUAAGUCGGAUGUGAAAUCCCCAGGCUUAACCUGGGAACUGCAUCCGAUACUGGAUGGCUUGAAUCCGGGAGAGGGAUGCAGAAUUCCAGGUGUAGCGGUGAAAUGCGUAGAUAUCUGGAGGAAUACCGGUGGCGAAGGCGGCAUCCUGGACCGGCAUUGACGCUGAUGAGCGAAAGCUAGGGGAGCAAACGG